rnacentral:rRNA from 1 species
GAAUUGACGGGGGCCCGCACAAGCGGUGGAGCAUGUGGUUUAAUUCGAUGCAACGCGAAGAACCUUACCUGGUCUUGACAUCCACGGAAGUUUUCAGAGAUGAGAAUGUGCCUUCGGGAACCGUGAGACAGGUGCUGCAUGGCUGUCGUCAGCUCGUGUUGUGAAAUGUUGGGUUAAGUCCCGCAACGAGCGCAACCCUUAUCCUUUGUUGCCAGCGGUCCGGCCGGGAACUCAAAGGAGACUGCCAGUGAUAAACUGGAGGAAGGUGGGGAUGACGUCAAGUCAUCAUGGCCCUUACGACCAGGGCUACACACGUGCUACAAUGGCGCAUACAAAGAGAAGCGACCUCGCGAGAGCAAGCGGACCUCAUAAAGUGCGUCGUAGUCCGGAUUGGAGUCUGCAACUCGACUCCAUGAAGUCGGAAUCGCUAGUAAUCGUGGAUCAGAAUGCCACGGUGAAUACGUUCCCGGGCCUUGUACACACCGCCCGUCACACCAUGGGAGUGGGUUGCAAAAGAAGUAGGU